rnacentral:rRNA from 1 species
UACAGAGGUCUCAAGCGUUGUUCGGAUUCAUUGGGCGUAAAGGGUGCGUAGGUGGCGCUGUAAGUCGGGUGUGAAAUCCCCAGGCUUAACCUGGGAACUGCAUCCGAUACUGGUCGGCUUGAAUCCGGGAGAGGGAUGCAGAAUUCCAGGUGUAGCGGUGAAAUGCGUAGAUAUCUGGAGGAAUACCGGUGGCGAAGGCGGCAUCCUGGACCGGCAUUGACGCUGAACAGCGAAAGCUAGGGGAGCAAACGGG